AUUUCUUUUUUAUUUUUAGGUGCUGCUGCUGCCGUCGCUGGUUUACUCAGGAUUCCCCAGGUCACCAGGUUCUAUCAGGAAUACGCUCAGGUUAUCCCAGGAUAUGACGUCUCAGAUCACAUGCAGGUAAGUACUUGGUAAGUAGGUCAACAACAGUCUGUUCGUAUUGUGUUUUCAAAACACAAAAUAAAAUUCAUUCCAAACC